CCUACGGGAGGCAGCAGUGAGGAAUAUUGGUCAAUGGACGCAAGUCUGAACCAGCCAUGCAGCGUGCAGGAAGACGGCUCUAUGAGUUGUAAACUGCUUUUGUACGAGGGUAAACGCAGAUACGCGUAUCUGUCUGAAAGUAUCGUACGAAUAAGGAUCGGCUAACUCCGUGCCAGCAGCCGCGGUAAUACGGAGGAUUCAAGCGUUAUCCGGAUUUAUUGGGUUUAAAGGGAGCGUAGGCGGUCUGAUAAGUUAGAUGUGAAAUCCUGAGGCUCAACUUCGGAAUUGCCUCUGAUACUGGUAGGCUAGAGAGUAGUUGCGGUAGGCGGAAUUGAUGGUGUAGCGGUGAAAUGCUUAGAGAUCAUACAGAACACCGAUUGCGAAGGCAGCUUACCAAGCUACUUCUGACGUUGAGGCACGAAAGCGUGGGGAGCAAACAGGAUUAGAUACCCUGGUAGUC
rnacentral:rRNA from 1 species